AAACCAUGGUGUGGACACUGUAUAGUGUAGCCUUUGAAUCUCUCCCAGGCCUCACAAAUGGAUUUAGACUGCUUUUGAGUAAAACUGGAGAUUUCAUUUCGUAGACG
rfam:Arabidopsis lyrata subsp. lyrata unplaced genomic scaffold ARALYscaffold_1, whole genome shotgun sequence.